AUAUAAUUGAGAAUUGACAUUGUAGUCAUAUCUUUCUGUAUCAUUCCUAGAUUCGGAGUUGGAUGUGUGUUUAUUUCCCACUUCUUACAGCUGCUCGCAGCUAAUCCAAUGAAACGCCCUGACAGCUGAGCUACUCUCAUUCACCCAGUAUUCGCAAUAUCAGGGUGCCCACCUUAAUUUUGAGUUUCUUUUUUUAGCAUAAUGGCAGAUUAUAUUAUUUGCAACUAUCAUAUGAGGCUCACAUCUAUGGAAAAAUAAAUAUUUAUAAAUUUAGAUAAAGUAGAGAUUUGUUGGUAAAAUAAGGCAUUAGAAGACAUAAAUAGUUUUGAAAAUGAUGCUCAACUUGCAAUGAUGCAACAUGUAUAGGGCUCUGGAGUCUGGGACGUAAUUGGUUUGAAGGAACAGUUAGUAUCCUACGCAUUUUUUUUUUUACAUCGCAUGAAUAAAUAAAUUGACAGACAAUGUGAUAUUUUUGCAAAUGUCAUUAUUUUUUCUACAAAAAAAACAAACUAUUUUUCAGCAAUACAUCACUAUACUUCUAGAUCCUGCCGUUGUAGGCCGUACAUCUAAGAAUACGAUUCACUCUUGGAAUGAAUACCAUCUUUUAAUUGGCUCUAAAAGCGCUGUAUUUCCAAAUACGACAAAAUGGAAGCCAAAGAAUAGUGCUGCUGAAAAUGCUCACGUGGCAGAAAGCCCCAACCGAGAUUUCCAAUGAUCUCAGAAUCAGCCGCACAGGGUCGUAUAGCAUGAAAAAGCAAUUUGAAACCCAAAGAACAGUCGCUAAAAAGUCCGAGCAAGGUUGGAAACAAACAGUCAGAGCAAGGGUAUUAUAAUGCGUGUAAAAAAACGCCUUACGGGAAAUUCAGUGAAGACGAUUUGCGGUAUUGCCCAGAACAUGAAUGUGAGUCAGAUUACGCUUUGAAGGAUAAUU
rnacentral:lncRNA from 1 species